CCUGCGAGCUGCCGGCGCCUGCCCGGAGCUGCGCGGAGCUACCCGUGGGCAGACAGGUGGACGCGGGGCUGGGAAAAGCCCGCGGGCGCGCGCGGGGCUGGAGGUGAGCGGGAAGGAAGCCAGGCCACGACUCCUUCCUCUCGAAAGAAAGAGACUUUCCCACGGUGCUUCCAAAAACGCUUCCGCCGCCCUCAGCGGGGAGAAGACGCGGCUCCACGAAGCCAGGAUUGGACAGAACAGGCAGGCAGCUGGCGGGGUGCCUGUCCGGUGCACAACCUUGGUGCUGCUCCAAAGAACACGUCUGCUGAAACCUGAAUCACAGCUCUCCUGAGCCUGAGCUCAGCGCUAUUGACCACUCUCCCCGUUUCAGUUGCUCACAGACUGAAGGCAAGACCCUCCACCAGCAAAAAGAUUACAGCUUCCUUUACUGCAAUGCUUGCUUUACUGCAUUGGUCUGGAACUAAGCCUGUAACAUCUCUGAGAUGAGAAAACCAAGGCUCAGAGAAAUGAAAUAAUUUGUUCAAGGUCACACAAUUAUAAUGUGAUGGGCCAGGAUUUCAACAAGGCCAUAAGACUCCAGAGUCUUGUUUCUAACCACCAGGAAGUUUUGGGUGCCACUAAUAGUUGAAGAAUAAUAAUGCCACGGUACAAGUAAAUUAAGUUACAAUACAGAAAACUGACCUAAAAUUUCUAUAUUUCAAAGAUGUGUACUAAAUCUACUUUUGUUGGGUUCUAGCACUGUAGGUUUCCCGGCACAAUUCACAUUUUCCAGUG